rnacentral:rRNA from 1 species
GACGAACGCUGGCGGCGUGCUUAACACAUGCAAGUCGAGCGGAGCGGCGAACGGGUGAGUAACGCGUGAGUAACUGCCCCCCUCUCCGGGCUAACAGUUGGGAACGGCUGCUAAUACCGGAUAGUGGGGGAUGUUUCGCGUCCUAUCAGCUGGUUGGUGGGGUAGUGGCCUACCAAGGCGGCGACGGGUAGCCGGCCUGAGAGGGCGACCGGCCAGAUGGGGGUGAGAGACUGCCCAAGUUCCUACGGGAGGCAGCAGUGGGGAAUAGUGCACAAUGGGGGAAAGCCAGAUCCAGCGACGCCGCGUGGGGGUUGGAGGCUUUCGGGUUGUAAACCUCCUGCACGCUCACUUGGGUAGGUGGAGAAGAAGCGCCGGCUAACUACGUGCCAGCCGCCGCGGUAAUAC